rnacentral:rRNA from 1 species
UACGGGGGGAGCAAGCGUUGUUCGGAAUUACUGGGCGUAAAGGGCGCGCAGGCGGCUCUUCAAGUCAGAUGUGAAAGCCCCGGGCUCAACCUGGGAACUGCAUUUGAGACUGGAGAGCUUGAGUUCGGGAGAGGAGAGCGGAAUUCCCAGUGUAGAGGUGGAAUUCGUAGAUAUCGGGAAGAACACCCGUGGCGAAGGCGGCUCUCUGGGACGGUACUGACGCUGAGACGCGAAAGCGUGGGGAGCGAACAGG